rnacentral:tRNA from 1 species
GCCGGAAUGGCGAAAUUGGCAGACGCCCGGGACUUAAAAUCCCGUGGGACCAGAAUCCCGUACCGGUUCGAGCCCGGUUUCCGGCACCA